rnacentral:rRNA from 1 species
UACGAAUUGGGCUAGCGUUGCUCGGAAUUACUGGGCGUAAAGGGCGCGUAGGCGGCCAACUAAGUCAGACGUGAAAUCCCUCGGCUUAACCGGGGAACUGCGUCUGAUACUGGAUGGCUUGAGAUUGGGAGAGGGAUGCGGAAUUCCAGGUGUAGCGGUGAAAUGCGUAGAUAUCUGGAGGAACACCGGUGGCGAAGGCGGCAUCCUGGACCAACACUGACGCUGAUGAGCGAAAGCCAGGGGAGCAAACGGG